AUUUAUCGGUGAAAUUAAUUUAUAAGACCAACUAAAACAUCAAGCACAUUAGAUCUAUUAAUGAUUGAUUAAUGUUAAUGUGCUUUUAAAAUUGAAUAAAACACAUGAUCAAUCAUAUUUUUAGCGUAUAAAAAAUAAAUCAUAUAAACGAGAUGGAAGACCAUUCUUCUUGUUUUUCUUUACAAGACUGAAAUAAGAAACUUCUUCUAAAAGUUCUUCACGCUCUAUGUAGACUAUCUCUUUCUCCAAGAAAUAUAUACUACCAAACACUUUUCAUUUUGAAAAAACAGUUUUUACUCUUCAUCUUAUCUUCAGCCAUACUAGACACAAACUCAACUUCAAGAUCAAAUAAUGCUUCUAAAAGCCAACUCAACCCAACAACCAUACUUCACGCACUCUCUUCAGCUUUUUUCUCUUUCAAUAAGAAUAUUUCAUUAAUAUGAUUUAGUUUUUAUUU
rnacentral:sRNA from 1 species